UAAUACGUAGGGGGCGAGCGUUGUCCGGAUUUAUUGGGCGUAAAGAGCUCGUAGGCGGUUGGGUAAGUCGGGUGUGAAAACUCAGGGCUCAACUCUGAGACGCCACUCGAUACUGCCCUGACUCGAGUCCGGUAGGGGAGCGUGGAAUUCCCGGUGUAGCGGUGAAAUGCGCAGAUAUCGGGAGGAACACCAGUGGCGAAGGCGGCGCUCUGGGCCGGAACUGACGCUGAGGAGCGAAAGCGUGGGUAGCAAACAGGAUUAGAUACCCUGGUAGUCCACGCCGUAAACGUUGGGCACUAGGUGUGGGACUCUAUCGACGGGUUCCGUGCCGUAGCUAACGCAUUAAGUGCCCCGCCUGGGGAGUACGGCCGCAAGGCUA
rnacentral:rRNA from 1 species